AACUCUGCCAGUGUUGUAUCAGAAGAAUAUUUGGACACAGAGUUCAAUUAAGAGAAGUUUUGGUUUCUGUUGUGAGGAAUCUUAAAUCCAACAAGUUUAUGCAAGGAAGAACUGUGUGCAGAGGAUAAAGCUUUGCUAAUAUGUGGCUGAAGGCUGUUGGACAAGCCCACACAGGAUCUGUGAACCAGCUCAGAUCUCUUUGCAUUCCAUUCAAAUGCAAGGUGUGCUUUUUUGAUCUGACUCCAGUAGCAAGCUAGGCACAGAGUGAAAGAAGACUACCUCCAUCUGUUUUCCCAUGGAUGAAGAAAGAGGGAGAAUGUCUUGUGGCAGAUGCUGGUUUUGCUCUUUAGAGUACUGUUGGGUUAUGCUUGGAAACUUAAUGAGAUUAGUGCAAAAACCUGAGUGGAAUAGUGUGGAUGAGGACGCAUACCUACCUUUUACUACAGGCAUGUUGAUCUAAUCUGUUGCUUUUCAUGUGUAUUCUGUAUACCCAGUGUCUGAACAGCACAGCGGUAGGAAAACUGUGCAUCUGAAUCCUCCAAUUUUUAUUAACUUUUAUAAAGCUCAUAUUUGAAGUCUCUUGCAGGUUUUUUUUGCAGUUCAGCUGUAAUCAGAAUUUAGAGCACAUGGCUAAUAAAAGGUGUCAAAUCGUA